rnacentral:rRNA from 1 species
GACAAACGCUGGCGGCAUGCCUAACACAUGCAAGUCGAACGGACAGAACAGGGAAGCUUUUCGGAGUGGAACUGGAAAGUUAGUGGCGGAUGGGCGAGUAACGCGUGGACAACCUACCUUGUAAAGGGGAAUAACCUCGAGAAAUCGAAGCUAAUACCCCAUAAUAACCUUGCUUCGCAUGAAGUAAGGAGGAAAGGCGGCCUUAGCGCUGUCGAUACAAGAUGGGUCCGCGUCUGAUUAGCUAGUUGGUGAGGUAAAGGCUCACCAAGGCGACGAUCAGUAGCCGGCCUGAGAGGGUGAACGGCCACAUUGGGACUGAGACACGGCCCAAACUCCUACGGGAGGCAGCAGUGGGGAAUCUUCCGCAAUGGGCGAAAGCCUGACGGAGCAAUGCCGCGUGAGUGAAGAAGGCCUUCGGGUUGUAAAACUCUGUCCUUAUCGAAGAGAGAGUGUUGUAGUAACUGACAAUACUAGGACGGUAGAUGAGGAGGAAGCCCCGGCUAACUAUGUG